rnacentral:rRNA from 1 species
UUCGUAGGGUGCGAGCGUUGUCCGGAAUUAUUGGGCGUAAAGGGCUCGUAGGCGGUUUGUCGCGUCGGGAGUGAAAACCUUGGGCUUAACUCAGGGCUUGCUUUCGAUACGGGCAGACUAGAGGUAUGCAGGGGAGAACGGAAUUCCUGGUGUAGCGGUGAAAUGCGCAGAUAUCAGGAGGAACACCGGUGGCGAAGGCGGGUCUCUGGGCCGAUACUGACGCUGAGGAGCGAAAGCGUGGGGAGCGAACAGG